UCCGAUAUGGUCUAGUGGCUAGGAUUUGCCGCUCUCAUUGCAGAGCUACUACAGCGUAGUGCCGGCAAGGCCCGGGUUCGAUUCCCGGUGUCGGAA